AUGUCGACGUACAGCCCGCCGGUGGGGCCUGGCGAUGUCGCUUUCUGGUGGAGGGUGGCCAUGGACGUGUUGCAGGCGUUGGGGUGGCGCGAGCUCGGAUGUACUCAGUCUGUCAUCAAAGCAAUUGUUGUCAAAAGGCAAACUAUUCCUGAUAUAGGCAAUGAUGAUGAAGUGCCAAUAUCAGGAAGAAAGCGACAUGUACAACAGAGAUUAGGAAAUAAUGUGGUUGUUUCUGAUUCGUAUAGGAGUCGACAUAGUAAUAAAAGGUGCAGGAGGUACCAUGCAAGCAAGCAGGGCGACCAGGAUCAUGCUGCAGGGGCUGGGUAUUACUCUCUUCGUCUCUCUAUUACCUUGCCUCCCCACUCAUGCUUUCAAUUUGCUCUUUCGCUUGGUAAGUCCUCUUUGGACCCUUCCACUUCGUCGGGCUCACCAUUGGAGACUCGGACGCCAGAAUCGGCACCGCUGCUGUGUCUGUUGGUGACGCUCACACAAGAUCCAAAGGCAGCACCUUGGCCAUCUCCCUGCGAACAUCUGACAAUAGCAGUAUUUUCACAACUAGGGAAUGGAAAAGAAUAUGGACGUGGUCAUCAGAUCGAGCCAGAAGAAGGAAAAUGUACAAUGAACCAGAAUGUACCAUGUCGAGUGGGAACAAUUGACGAGACGCCAACGUUCUGGUUUCGAACCCCUCAACUCCAGUUUAUCCCCUACAUCGCGCCUUCUGUCCUGGACAUCCCCGGCUUCUAUGAUGAGCAACUGCUCGAGCAGGCGAUGAUGAAGGCGAGUGUUGGCUCGGUGGGUGCGGUGGAGGGCGAUGAGGAUGCCAGUGUGGACGUGAAGGCGGACGAAUUCAUCGCAAAAGAAAAAGAUAAUGGAAAGGGCGGCUGUCUAUCUGGCACCGCAGCAGCACGUCUCAGGAGGCGCGCCAUGGGCGCGCCCCAACCCCCAGUGCCAUCCAUUUGUGGUUGA
rnacentral:rRNA from 1 species